rnacentral:sRNA from 2 species
UCGGCUGUCUUUGGGGAGUAGCCGGCUUCCGUUUCCGGAAGCGCUCAUGUCAACACGCUUGGUCGGAUCGACCGUGGCAUGAGCAGCCGUCGCACCUUUUCAGGUUGGCAAGACCAUCGACAUGUCAGCGCGGCCGGGCGCGCGGGCAUGUCGCAUGUUCACGCCCGG